UUAUUCUCUUUACAAAUUCAAGUCGGACACACAUGUGUUUGCCAAAAAGGAUUUUCAAGUGUGGAACAUGAACAAAAGACAAAACGCUGAUGAAACAUAUUAUGAUUUUUACCACAAACCAAAGAUUAUUUAAAAACAAAAAAAUGAAUAUUCAUGCAAAAAAAUCCUAAAUUGUUACAGUGUAUUAUGUUAAAACAAGGCAUAGUGUAGUAUGCCAAAAAAAGUGAUGAAGUCAUAGUAUAGUUUGUUGAAAAUUGUCAUAGUAUAAGAUGUUGAAAAAAGUCAUUCAUAAGUCAUAGUAUAGUAUGGCAAAAAAAAAGUCAUACAAAAGUCAUAGUAUUAAAUGUAAAAAAAAAAACUUCAUAAAAAGGGCCUGCCCAGACUGGGAAUUGAACCUGGGUCAGAGUUACACUGACAACUUUAUAAUGUCAACAAAAAAAGUGAUAAAAGGUCAUUGUAUAAUGUGUUGAAAAAAGUAAUAAAAAGUUAAAGUAUUUUAUGUCGAAAAGAACAUCCUAAAAAUGCACUGACCAAACUGGCAAUCAAACCUGGGUCAGAGUCUGCAGUGACUACUCACUGGUUGCCUGUUGGAACAAUGCUAACCACUGAGCCAUUGUCCCUCCGAAGAAAUGAUGUUUAAAACAAUCACAGUAUAGUAUGUCAAAAGACAGUGAUAAAUAAAUCAUAGUAUAGCAUUUUGAAUAAUAAAUAGGCAGGUACACUUGGACAUGUGGCCAGAGGAGCUUGAAAUUGAUUCACCAACUUUGUGGUCAUGGGACAACCAUUCUACCCCUCAACCACAAGCCACCCAUUAUGGUAUGAGGAAAAAGUAAUAGUAUAGUAUGUCAAAUAAGACAUAGUACAGACAUAGUCAGGGACACUUUGACAUGUGGCCAGUGGAGCUUUGGAUUGAUCCAUGGACCUUGUGGUUUUGGGACAACCAUUCUACCUCCCAGCCACCCAGUAUGAUAUAUGGGAAAAAAGGUAAUAGUAUAGUAUGUUGAAAAAAGUGAU